ACAGAGUUUCAGUAACAAAGAUGCAUAUAUUCAUAAUUUCAGUAGCAGUAUUGUACUCAUGUUAAGAUUGUUGUCUCCCUGCUCUUAAUAUGUCUAAUCCAUAUAUACUUCUAUUCAUGGUAUAUCCACCACGUUUCAGUAACAAAGAUGCAUAGAUUCAUAAUUUCUGUAGCAGUAUGUAAUUUUGUGGCUUAAUUAUUUCUGGACUAAUUAACGAUUAAUAAUUGCAUUGUGAAACAUUCCUCUUCUCAUAUUCCUACCAUAUCUGCACCUUGUCUGUGUCAUGUGUCAGUACCAAAAGAUGUUGCUUCCAUGUUAAUAAGCUCUUAUCUUGGGACUGAAUCUGUGCCAGUUUGCACAUUCUGUCACAUGAGAUCAGCUACUUAGUUUAUUCAGUUUACAUAUUUAAAUAUUUAUCAUUGCACUAUUAUUUAACAGUAUGUACUAAGUUUAUUAGGGAAAUAGAAGUACUAACUACUUAGUUGGAUUAACUAUGCAAAUCGCUGAAAUGGCACCAUUUUUCUCUAAGUAGAAUCACUUAAAUGCCUCCUGCUGUUGCAAGGAGUUUCUUGCUUUUUUAUUAUUCACACAAUCUAUCCCACCAAGGUUAAUAGAUACAAUUCAUGCUAGCAGGACUUACAAGAUUAAAGUGAAAUCUCUUAUAUUAUUCAGAACAUUUAUGUAUGAAUGUUGGUUGUUAAUCACUAUAUGAAACUAUUAUAAGGUUUAGUAUUUACAUGGCCAAAGAGACACAUAUGCUACAGUAGAAAUAUUUUUGAUACUUUUACAUACUUACAGGUUAGUGGGGAAUGGAACAUGCCCUGAAGUUUGCAUUUCCAACUAUGUUGUCCACCAAGGCAUACAUCAUUAUUAAAUUUGCAUGUGCAUAGCUUUACCUCAUCUAUAAAUCUUUGACUGAUGAUAUGCGGUAAUUGUUGUAUAUUUUUUCAUAAUAGCAUGCUACAGCCAUAAUAUCUUUGUUAUUAAGGCAUAUAUAGUUUUUAUUUCCAUAUGCAAAUACUGUUCAAAGCAAUAUAUAUUUCUACUCUUUUAUUGAUUGUAUAACCAUCUGGCAAUCAUAUAGCUCAAUUAAAAGAUGUAAUUUAAGGAAGUUUAUAGAAAAAAUUGAUAAUUGAAUAAAAAGAGUGAUUUACUGUAUACCAAAUGUUACCAUGAAUAUAUUAUAUUCAAUAAUUUACUAAAAUAUAUAGAAGCAUAAAGAAAAAUAAGAGAUAAAAAUGAAUGAAAUGCAAAAGUGGCAUUGUCUCUUGAUGUAGGCUUGCACACUCCGCCGCCUCUGCCCUCGGUCUGUGUGUAUGUGAUGGAUCUCAUGUUGGUUUGGUCUGCUAAGUGGCGGUGCUGAAAGCUUUUUUUUGCUCCAGGUCCAUGUAGUGAUGAUCCAGAUUUUCAUUCGAUCGGAAAAUCACUCUGAGAAAAAUGAAGAGGCAGCUAUUCCCAUAUGGUGCUGAGAAGUUAGGGAAGAAGGUGUUGUGAUACAUGCAUUUGUCGUAUCACUAUAUGCGUUUUUUCACCAGUUGUGCGUUGCCUGAUUUGGUCAUAACUGUAUUAUCAGAAUGUGUGGAACUCCAAGUAGCUGCUCUUUCAUUGGAGCAGGUUGCAUCAGAAAGGCGUUUGCUGCAUCCUCAGGAUGGUGUGUGCUCUUGUGUUUUGUCUGUGCGCCAUCGUCAUGUAGUAUGCAUGAAGCUGAACCUGAUAUGAUGUUUAGGUCGAUGUGCAAGUAUGCUACCUGAACAUUCUUGAACUUAGGCCAUGUACUAUCUACAUUUAUGUGAUAUUUAUGAGUAUGCUAUGCCAGUGUAUGAUGUGCGUUA